rnacentral:rRNA from 1 species
UACGUAGGGGCCAAGCGUUGUCCGGAUUUAUUGGGCGUAAAGAGCUCGUAGGCGGUCUGUCACGUCGGCUGUGAAAUCCCGAGGCUCAACCUCGGGUCUGCAGUCGAUACGGGCAAACUAGAGUAUUGCAGGGGAGACUGGAAUUCCUGGUGUAGCGGUGAAAUGCGCAGAUAUCAGGAGGAACACCGGUGGCGAAGGCGGGUCUCUGGGCAAUAACUGACGCUGAGGAGCGAAAGCGUGGGGAGCGAACAGG